rnacentral:rRNA from 1 species
UACGAAGGGGGCGAGCGUUGUUCGGAUUUACUGGGCGUAAAGGGCGCGUAGGCGGCCUUGUCAGUCAGGCGUGAAAGCCCCGGGCUCAACCUGGGAACGGCGCUUGGGACGGCGAGGCUGGAGUUCGGGAGAGGAGAGUGGAAUUCCCAGUGUAGAGGUGAAAUUCGUAGAUAUCGAGAGGAACAUCGGUGGCGAAGGCGGCCUUCUGGACGAUGACUGACGCUGAGACGCGAAAGCGUGGGGAGCAAACAGG